ensembl:lincRNA
UUAAAGAAGGCAUUCUAAGUGGAGACCUGUGGAAUGGAUACUUUAAAAGUAAAGAAGAUGUUGGGAAACUAUGAAAGGAGAUGUCCUGGGAUACAGCUUGUUCAUUUUCAUGAAAAUGCCCAUCACACCUGCUGCUGCCACCUGCUCCGGUACCUUGCCAACAUCUCCCCUACUGCCUUCAAUGCCGGCCAUGCUCCUUCAGGAGGAGAAAGGACUUUUUCUAAUCAGUGGCUGCUGCUGGACAGUGACACACUAAACAGUGACAUCUGGGAAAUAUCAAGUCAUCUGUCCUUGAGAUGGUGUAUACUCUUAUUGUUGCCAAGAUAUUUUACCAUCAAAUUCUGGGGUCUGUGGUGUUUACUGUUCUAAUACCUUCUUUUCCUGGCUAAGACCUGCAGCCUCUAUUAAAAUAAAUUCUAAC